UACGGAGGGUGCAAGCGUUAUCCGGAUUCACUGGGUUUAAAGGGUGCGUAGGUGGAUUGGUAAGUCAGUGGUGAAAUCCCCGAGCUUAACUUGGGAACUGCCAUUGAUACUAUUGGUCUUGAAUACCGUGGAGGUCAGCGGAAUAUGUCAUGUAGCGGUGAAAUGCUUAGAUAUGACAUAGAACACCAAUUGCGAAGGCAGCUGGCUACACGAAUAUUGACACUGAGGCACGAAAGCGUGGGGAUCAAACAGGAUUAGAAACCCCGUGUC
rnacentral:rRNA from 1 species